GAUGGAAAACCGUCCCUAGUAACUUGAGGUGGCACUGAUGCACACCUUUCUCUUUCAUCCCAUACACACCUGUGCACCUGUGAGACAGAUGUUUUCUAGGGGGGGAAGGAACUUUAUUGGAACCUUCUUUUCUUGGAAUUCUGUCUACUUAAUCUAUAUAAACUCAAUUUAUUUUAAAAUGAAUGUAAUGGAUGUAACACAUCUAAUACUAAGUUUCAACAACGGAUCUCUUGGCUCUCGCAUCGAUGAAGAACGCAGCGAAAUGCGAUAAGUAAUGUGAAUUGCAGAAUUCAGUGAAUCAUCGAAUCUUUGAACGCACCUUGCGCUCCUUGGUAUUCCUUGGAGCAUGCCUGUUUGAGUAUCAUGAAAUCUUCAAAGUCAAACCUUUUGUUAACUCAAUUGGUUCUGCUUUGGUAUUGGAGGUCUAUUGCAGCUUCACACCUGCUCCUCUUUGUGCAUUAGCUGGAUCUCAGUGUUAUGCUUGGUUCCACUCAGCGUGAUAAGUUAUCUAUCGCUGAGGACACCCUGUUAAAAAGGGGUGGCCAAGGUAAAUGCAGAUGAACCUGCUUCUAACAGUCCAUUGAGCUUGGACAAAUGAGUUAGAUUUUAUGAUC
rnacentral:sRNA from 1 species